rnacentral:rRNA from 1 species
GACGAACGCUUGCGACGUGCCUAAGAAAUGCAAGUCGAGCGAGGUAGCAAUACCUAGCGGCGAACGGUCGCGUAACACGUAAGCAACCUGCCCCAAAGACCGGGACAACGUUUCGAAAGGAGCGCUAAUACCGGAUGUGGUCAUCGGCUGACAUCGGCUGAUGAGUAAAUCGAGCAAUCGGCUUUGGGAGGGGCUUGCGGCCUAUCAGCUAGAUGGUGGGGUAACGGCCACCAUGGCGACGACGGGUAGCUGGUCUGAGAGGAUGGUCAGCCGGAUUGGGACUGAGAUACGGCCCAGACUCC